AGCUGCCUCUUGUUCUGCUUCUCCUCCAGGAUCUGCUCCCGUUUCUCCUGCUGCUCUGUUUGCUGCGCCUCCCUCAGGAGGGCCAACCGCUCCUUCAGUUCCACCAGGGACAUCUCUCCCAGCAGCUCGUGGCCUGCAGUCUGACAUGGGACAACAAAUUAACCAUGAUGACACAAGAAGUGUGUGAAACUGAGCUGUCUGCAAGAAGCAGAAAUCAUAAAGAAAUUGUCGAGGGAUGUUCACCCACCUCUUCUUUCUUCUGCUGAGCAGUCUUCUGGUUGCGUUCCAUCAGCCGUGUGCGGGCCAUAGCUGCCUCCUCGUAACUGAUACGUCCCUCAAGACGCCUGCGCUCAAUCUUGGC